CUUGGCCACGUUUCCUCUCUGCGUGAUGUUCUUGCUGUGUUUCUCGUUCGCCAUUCGGAUCCUCUGUUUGGCCACCAUCUUCCCAAACGUCUGGAAAGCGCCACUCUGGACAAACCAGCCGCACAAGCCGUCCAUCCAGCACCUCUCCCCUGCAAGUUUGCCCUCACAUUCACAGCCAUCAUAGUUCAUCGUACAUAGACACGCGUAUAUGGUGGCACGGUGGACAUCUGGCUCACAGUUGAGGACCCGGGGUUCAAAUCCGGGCCCCACCUGUGUGGACUUUUCAUGUUCUCCCCGGGUCUUUGUGCGCCCCUCCCGGGCACUCCAGUUUCCUCCCACAUCCCAAAAACAUCCAUUAAUUGGAGACUCUAAAUUGCCCGUAGGUGUGAGCGUGAACGGUUGUUUGUUAUCUUCCCUUCCGACUGACAACCAGUUCAGGGUGUACCCCGCUUCCUGCCCGAAGAU